ensembl:lncRNA
CCAUAGGAUGUAGCAGGUACCUUCCUUUGUGUUGCGCAGCUCCAUCGGGAACACCCCUUUCGACGACAAAUUCCUCUUUUUUUCAGUUAACAGUUCUGGGGCAGGGGAUGGUGGAGAGGCCCAGAGCCGACGUAGACCGAGAUGAAGAUGAGGAAGACCAAGAGCAGAAAGAGGCUGGCUGCUGCGGCGGCCACAGCGAAGACCUCCAUCCGCCGCGCAGUCUCCCGCAGCGGGUACUCGCGGGUUGAGGCCAGCGCCGCGUUGCCAUGGGAACCGCGGCGGCGCCUCUGCGGAACCCUGCGUUUAUUACCGGAGAAUUGACUGCGCGGACGCCGCCCCCACCCCUGGGGCUUAGGGACGCGCAUCCUCCCCGCUCCCGGUCACCUUGUGCAGAGAAAGCAGAAAUCAGACGCGGCGUGAAGGACGCAGUGCAAACGCUUCGUAAGCAUUGCCUGAUGGCGGAGCCAGACGCCCUUGGUGGAGGCCCACGCGAGAUCGGCCGGGACAACCAACCCCUGCUUCCCCGCCGAUCCUGCGCGUUUCCCAGGCCCGGGUGCUACGCGGAACGCAGAGAGCCCCCCUCGCUGGCUGGGGCUUCGCCGACACUCUGGAACCCCGCCCGGGGGAGGAACCGCAGCGCAGAGCCCCGCAGAUUGGAGACAGAGGCCGGACGUGGGCGUUUUUGAUGAACCGUUCCAAAGCCAGGCUGCGUUUUACUCCUCCUCGCCCUCGCCCCGCAGGCUCUGGAAGGGGAGGGAGGGAGCAUAAAAGACAUUUACCCCGAGUCCUAGUUAUUGGAACAUGUCCUUAACACGCCGUCUGUCCCGGGUGCUAGAAACAUACUGCAGAAAGACAAUGUUUGGGUAAUUAAUAAAGAGACAAUAACCCGGCUUCCUUCCGAAACACUCGCUGCCCAUAGCAGUUAAAAACGCUAGGCGGGAGGCCCUGCGAGGUGCGGAGCCCUGCGCGGCCGCCUUCGGGAUGACCGGACUGCGGCUCCUCCCGGCCGGAUUUCCACCGGUCACGUAAUUAGGAGAAACGCAGAAGGCAGAUGAUUCCCCUUUUACUCGUCACACUUUCUCCUCCCCGGUCACUGGCGAAGCCCCUGGCCCCGGAGACAUCCGGCUCCGCGCCUGGGCCUGAAAAAUCUGCCUCAAGGGAGCGAAGGUCUUGUCGCUCCAGGUUAUAAAUAUUAAUAAGCUGAAAGGCUCGGCAUAAUAUCUCCCUUUAAUUGCAACUCAACCAAAAAUCCAGCCUCCUGCCACUCAGGCCUCACUAAGUCGGGAUUGUUGCGGUUUGGUGUCAGGAGACUCCCCCGGCCCAAAGCCGUUCUUUGUAUCCGCUGCCCAACAUGGAAACCAUAUGCUGCGCCUCUCGGCGUGUUAACAUCACCCUCAGAUUCGAGCUGACUCCCCUUCGACUUUCAUUCGCUCGCCUGCAUCCCCCGGCCGCUGGGCGCCCUCUGUUUCUCUCCCUACCUCCAGGGGACCCCGACUCUCUCCAACCCGCCCCCAGCCCCGACCUCACGCUACUGAGGCAGUAGUUUGAAGGGUUUGACAAACUGGGAAGGCCCUUAGCGGGGGGGUGGGAAGAGCCUCGGGUUUGACCCGAAGGCACCUGUGGCGGCCUCGCCCCCGGAGAGGCCUGCGGGCCGCGGAAGGGCUCAGUCCGCCGGCGGCCAGUGAGCUGUCGGUCGCAGGCCGGGCCUAAGCAGUGGCCCGGGGCGUCGGAAGCCCUCCGCCCAGCCGGUCGCCUUCUGCCCCGAGGGCUGCUCCCGGCGCCCCGAAGGAGCGGCGUGCGGUUGAGCAGGGGCUCUGGGUUGCUGGGGGCUGCUGCUCCUGGGCUCAGCGCGUGUUCCCCCGGGUCGGAGGUGGGGGUGAGGACAUGGGCUGUUUGUUGCCCGUCGCCGAGCGUCCUCGCAUCGCGCCGCCAAAGGUGCUAUGGAAUACAGAAGCAAUACGUCGUUUUGUGCAGAAGCAAUACGAAGUUGACCUAGCAACUGCUGUUCCCAAGAUCACGGCCAGCAGAGUGCGCCCUGAGUGGGGAGGGGUGCUGUGAUGGACGUGAGUGGCUCACGGACCUUGAAGAAUCCCACAGAUUCCCUUCCGAAGGCCAGCUUCUUUGAGCCCCUGUUCAUGAAUCUCACACUUCAAAAUCACAUGUCAGUAGACUGUUGAUCCUUUUAGGCACCUGGUGUCCCUGAGCAGUCCUAUUUAGGAAACACAGCACUACAUUUGGGGGGGGGGGGGUUUGCUCAAAUGAAACAUCAGCUCAUGGAUGAAACUUAAGCGGGAUAAAUGUUCGACCUAGAAAUAAAACCUUACUAAACAAGAGAAAGCAUAGCAUGAUAGAAAGAAUACAGCUGUUAGAGGCAGACACCUAGGCUUGAAUCCUUGCCUCAGCUGUGUGACAAAGGGUGGAUUUCUCAGCCGGGCACAUCGUCGUUGUAGCUAUGCUGUGAUGAUUACGAUAUCAUCCAUGAAAGCACUUAAUUCAUGGGAGCAACUGUCCCCAAAAGGAAGACACUCACGUUGCUCCGAUGGUACAUCUGGGGGCUCUCAGGGAAGCAGCGGCACCGGGAGCGAUUUGGAAGAAAGGAUUUAUUAUAGGGAUUAGAUGAAUCCAGGCUGCUGCUGCCUAAGCCAUCGGUGAUCCCCAAGUCCUGAUAGAUGAGCAGGGCUGGCAGUUGGGAAGAAGAUCUGGAGACAGAUGGCAGAGAGUGAAGACCAACUGGAGUGCACAGGGACAAACCAAAAUCUCUCUGCCUUUUCUCUCACUGACCACAACUGGGAGUCCCAGGAGGCCUGCAGGGUAGCUGGUACCCUUCACCUUGGAACAGCGUGCACACCUAGCCCAGGCCUCAGAGGAGUCGAGGCAAGUGAGCUUGUGGGAGCCACAGGAGCGCCUGCAGGGGCCUCUCCACCCUGACAAGGUGAGCCAACAGGUCACCAGCAGGCGCUGCAAGGCCCUUGCUGUCCUACCCAGACCCUCAGGGUGUCUUGGCUGCCACUUGGCUUCCGCCUUUCUAAUCUGGUGCACAUUUCUCCUAGCCAGAUCUCACCGGGACCUUGCUGGAAAGGAGGUUCAGGGGAACCGUGUCAGGUUCACUCAGCUGACCCAAAACUAGCCUCACAGAUGGGAAGCACAUGUUGCUCUGCAGCCACAGAACAGGCUUCUCUGCCCUUCUGUGGUCUUGCAUCCCUCCUUGCCCUGCCACAUCCCACUCAGACCCUUCGCACUUGGACAGCUCUCUGUGGAGUCCGUCCUUGGUCACAUGGACACUCUGUUAGGUCCAGGGGACAAGACUGUGAGAUAAAACAGCUGUUUUAACAGACUACCCUUGUGACAUUAAUUUAGUGACCACACACAUAAAUGUACACGUCCAGCUAUGGUCAAGGCCCCAGCAGAGAGCACGCGUGGUCUCUUGAGAAGACACAGAAGGAGGAUUUCGCCGAACCUAAGAAAACACCUGGAAACCCAGAGAGUAAAGUAUCACUUCUCUCUCAACCUCCAGAGUCGUCUGAAGCACCGAUAAUGCUGUUGAUUCUCAUCAGCUCCUGUGGGUUAGUCUCAGACCACCGGCAUCCCUGAUGCGUAGCCCUCAUAGUGGACCAAAAUAAUGGUCGUCGAAGAUGAUAUCAAGAUCUGAAGAAACUUCUCAGAGUUGCGUUAUUCGACGAGUUCAUUUCUUAGGGAAUUCCAGUUCAUGUUCCAGUGGAAAGCUGAGUCGUGGAGAAGGGGACAGGAAUGGAACGUUCAUGUGGUGUCCCCCACGUUGCUUACCCCGGGGGUCAGUGGGACAUCCCACUGAUUGACUCAUUUUGCAAAGCUCGUGGCCCUUCGUUGCUUCCCCAGCAUCCAAGGUACCGUGUCAGCAGGAAAACUCAUUACCUGCCUGCCUGGUUCCGCUGUCUCAGCUCCUUCUUGGAAGCAGGUGGUGUCUCCAUGAUGAAUACAUUAAAGAGAAAAAAGAAAGAAAACAUUCCUGGGUUGUUGUUAGACCGGCUUCUUACUGGAGACACAGUCCUUCUUCAAGGUAAGUAG